rnacentral:rRNA from 1 species
AUGCGAUUUCCUGAGUAGCGGCGAGCGAAACGGAAACAGCCCAAACCGGAGGGCUUGCCCUCCGGGGUUGAAGGACACUCCGCACGGAGUCAGAAAAGAGCGGCGCAGGCGAACGGCCUGGAAGGGCCGGCCAGAGAAGGCAAGCGCCCUGUAGCCGAAGGGCCGCUCUCUCCGGAGUGGAUCCUGAGUACGGCGGGACACGAGAAACCCCGUCGGAAUCCGGGAGGACCAUCUCCCAAGGCUAAAUACUCCCCAGUGACCGAUAGCGAACCAGUACCGUGAGGGAAAGGUGAAAAGCACCCCGGGAGGGGAGUGAAAGAGAACCUGAAACCGUGUGCUGACAAGUAGUUGGAGCCUCAUCAAGAGGUGACAGCGUACCUUUUGUAGAAUGGACCGGCGAGUGGCGAUCGGAAGCAAGGUUAAGCCGGAAAAGGCGGAGCCGCAGCGAAAGCGAGUCUGAAGAGGGCGAAUGAGUUUCCGGUUGCCGACCCGAAACCGUGUGAUCUACCCAUGUCCAGGGUGAAGUUCAGGUAACACUGAAUGGAGGCCCGAACCCACGCAUGUUGAAAAAUGCGGGGAUGAGGUGUGGGUAGGGGUGAAAUGCCAAUCGAACACGGAGAUAGCUGGUUCUCCCCGAAAUAGCUUUAGGGCUAGCCUCGGAUGAGCGAGCGUUGGAGGUAGAGCACCGAUUGAAUAAGGGGUCCCCACAGGAUUACCGAGUUCAGUCAAACUCCGAAUGCCAAUGCCUUGCGUCCGGGAGUCAGACGGCGAGUGAUAAGAUCCGUCGUCGAGAGGGAAACAGCCCAGACCGCCGACUAAGGUCCCCAAGUCUGUGUUCAGUGGGAAAGGAUGUGGCGUUGCCCAGACAACCAGGAUGUUGGCUCAGAAGCAGCCAUCAUUUAAAGAGUGCGUAAUAGCUCACUGGUCGAGUGGCGCUGCGCCGAAAAUGUAACGGGGCUUAAACACAGCACCGAAGUCGCGGAUGACCC